rnacentral:rRNA from 1 species
ACAUGAUCUGAGUUCAGACCGGUCGCCUGUUUAUCAAAAACAUCGCCUCUUGCUUCAGUGAAUAAGAGGUCACGCCUGCCCUGUGACUAUAUGUUUAACGGCCGCGGUAUUUUGACCGUGCAAAGGUAGCGCAAUCACUUGUCCUUUAAAUGUGGACCUGUAUGAAUGGCAUAACGAGGGCUUAGCUGUCUCCUUUCUCAAGUCAAUGAAUUUGAUCUCCCCGUGCAGAAGCGGGGAUAAAACCAUAAGACGAGAAGACCCUAUGGAGCUUUAGACAAAAGACAGCCCCUGUCAAUAAACCCCAAAUAAAGGGAAUAAACCUAGUGAACCUGUUUUAAUGUCUUUGGUUGGGGCGACCGCGGGGUAACAAAAAACCCCCAUGUGGAAUGAAAAUACCCUUUUUAAAACCAAGAGUCACCACUCUAGGAUACAGAACAUCUGACCAAUAAUGAUCCGGCUAAAGCCGAUUAACGAACCGAGUUACCCUAGGGAUAACAGCGCAAUCCUCUUUUAGAGCCCAUAUCGACAAGAGGGUUUACGACCUCGAUGUUGGAUCAGGACAUCCUAAUGGUGCAGCCGCUAUUAAAGGUUCGUUUGUUCAACGAUUAAAGUCCUACAUGAUCUGAGUUCAGACCGGUCGCCUGUUUAUCAAAAACAUGAUCUGAGUUCAGACCGG